rnacentral:rRNA from 1 species
GACGGACCGUGCGAACGUUGUUCGGAAUCACUGGGCUUAAAGGGCGCGUAGGCGGGCUGUCAAGUCUGGGGUGAAAUGCCGCGGCUCAACCGUGGAACUGCCUUAGAUACUGACGGCCUCGAGGAAGGUAGGGGCAUGCGGAACUGUAGGUGGAGCGGUGAAAUGCGUUGAUAUCUACAGGAACUCCGGUGGCGAAAGCGGCGUGCUGGACCUUUUCUGACGCUGAGGCGCGAAAGCUAGGGGAGCAAACGGG